UCGGCGGUGCCGUGGCUCGGAGGCGCUUUGGAGGCGUUGAUGGCAUCGCUGGGUUCGGUUUGCAGCGGCUGUCCGCUAAGGGAUACGGUGUUCUUCCUGAGCGGCACGGUUCUCGGUGCCGGUAGGGAUGAUAAAGGGUACUCACAAAAUAUGUCUCCCUUAGUGUCCCACAGAAACAUUCUGGGUGAAAUCUGAAUUAAGUGCUAUGAGUCUUGAUAAAUUGGAGAAGUGCCCAAGAGAAAUUCAUCAUCCUGAGAUACAAAAGGUAGGAAGUGACUUUUUUUGGUUUGGUUCUUUUUCUUUAUUGUUUUCUGGAAAUAGAAGUAAUUAAGUAUAGAUACUACUGGUUUGUUUCUUCCAGUAGCUGAUAAUACUAAGACCAAUAAUAAUAAUAAUAAGAGUAAAGUAAUACUACUUCAACUGUCUUUAUUUAUCCAUUGGACUGGCCAUUUUAAAUCUAAACUUCUAAACACAAAUCAAACCAUCAUCCUUGUAGAAUCUUUAAUAGGAGUGGGCUAAAGAUCCUGGUUUUGUUGACAGGAUUUAUUGGUUCAUGAACAGCAAGAGGUAAGUACAAGCCUAACUACCCUCUAGCUCACAGACCUGCCCGGUGAAUAGAGCUUUGUUUUUUUGAUGGGCUUGUGAUGACUUUGAGAUCAAUUGCUCAUUCAUUACAGUAAAAAAAAAAAAAAUUGUUUUGAACAUGACAGCAAAAAUAACUUUAAGCACAACUUAAUAAUAAUAGAUCACCAAUUUUAGUUAAUAAUUUUAUGCUAUACUCUUGGGUGAGGGAAGACUCGGACACUCAAUAUGAGAUCAGCAAGCUAUGUUUAUUGCAGAGAGUAUCAGACACUUAUACAGCACAUAAUAAGCUUAUGAAUAUUCUGUAAGCCAAGCGAUCUAUUGGUUAAACUAUACCAUCAACUCUUCCUCAUUCCUUUGGGCCUACAUUCCCUAUUUCCCACGUCUCUCUGUCUACUUGUUAUCCUACCCAGCUAGGCCCAGGCACACGCUAUCUUGCAGGUGCAAAACUCAAAAAUACCUGUGUUCGGUACUUUCCCAGCUCCUGGUCGGCUAACGAGCGAAUGUCUGCGUGACCUCUGUCAUGGAGCCAUUUCUCCACACUAUACUAUCAAAGUUUAAAGGUAAAUUAUUAUAUAUUAGGAGAUGGUGUAAAGUGUAUGUUGUAAUGUGUAGGAUAUAUACAAAGAUACGUACUUGAAAGUCCGUAGAGGAAACAAAUUUUUACGCCUUCUGUUUGACUGUUUGUCAUAUAUUUGGUUUUAUUUCCCAGGGAUCAGUGAAUUUUAACUCUGGAGUCCUCUAUGCUAAGGAUGCUCAGCUUACAGAUGAUGAAAUAUUCAGUAAUGG